rnacentral:tRNA from 1 species
GUCCUAAUAGUAUAAAUAAUUACUCUGGUCUUGUAAACCAAAAAUGAAGAGUCAAUCUUCUUAGGACA